rnacentral:lncRNA from 1 species
UUCCAAUCAAUUAUGAAAGCAAAUCAUCCUACCCAAAGGGGAGGAAAGUCUCUUUGAAAGCAUUUCUCCUAGCCUGCUCAGAGAAGAUGCUCAUUUUCAGAAUUUUUAAGAAACAGGAAAAAAUAUAGACAAGAUUAUACAGAGAGGGGAAGAAUGAGAAGAGAAGAGAAGGAUAAUAAGAAUUCUGAGGAACAUCAACAUUUAAAACGGAAAUGAAGAAAAGCCUGCGAAGAAGACUGCAAAGGUAGGCCAAGACCUAAAGGUGGUUCUGGAAUUAUUUGAUAUUGGGUGGCAGUGCUAUUAUUGUUCUUAUUUUACAGAUGAGGAAACUGGAGCAAGGAGAGGAUUUUGCUCCAAAGUCUAAUGGCUAACUGAGCUGAGGUUUGAAUCCAGGCAAUAGUCACCAGAGCUGCACUCACAAACUCAAAACUGUAGUGUGAGGAAGGUGGAUCACAUGCUUUGGAAGUAUUUCAGGCUGGGAAGUCUUCCAGUUUCUGGAAGAAAGAUAUGAUAAAGCCCAUAACAGAGGAUAUGGGAGCCAGCCAAGGAAGUGAACCCAUACACAUGUUCCCAGCUUCUACAGAGGGCCAAAUUCUGAUAGGAAAUUCUUUACGUGUGUGUGUGUGUGUGUGUGUGUGUGUGUGUGUAAUUUUAAGUUCUGGGAUACAUGUGCAGUAUGUGCAGUUUUGUUACAUAGGUAUACAUGUGCCAUGGUGGUUUGCUGCACCACUGAUAGGAAAUUAGGUAGCCACACACACAAGUAUAGACAUGGCUACUGAGUAAGACUUAUGAAAAUCUAGCUCUUAGCACAACUGUAAGCACAGAAUGAAUUUAGCAAACUUUUCCACAUCUCUGCAGACAAAGCCCUGGUUUUUAGUACAGACAUCCUGAAAGGUUACUUAUCCUGAUGUCAGGUGUAGCCUUGAGAAGUCCAGUGAUUCAAUGUUCAGGAAGAAAAUGUGUGAAAUGUAUCUCAACAAAUUGAGCCUGCUGUUUAGGAGGCUUUGCAUCCAUUUUUAAGGAAAAUUAUUCAUAACUACUCAAACCCAAGCAUGCAAGUCUGUAGCUAAAGAAUUCCAAGGGCAAAGGGUUUUCCAGGUGAAGCCAAAUGUAACCUUUAGAUAAUUGAGAGUAGCAAUAUCACAGAAAAAGAACUUCAAGCUUUGUUGCUAUUGUUUAGUGUCAGCAUGAGAGUUUUCAUCCUGAAUUGCUCUUAAAUCCUGAUUCAUUUGAAAAUUAAUCCAAAUGUCUUCCCACCAACUCUUCUCCCUUCUGGUAAAUUUUAUUAAGCAAUAAAUUCACAUCAAACAUUAUUUAUUGGGAAACAUCAGAUGAAACCAUUCAAAUUUUACUAUACAGUAGAUAUACCAAAGAAGUCAGCAUUCCCCCUUCAUAUUUUUUCAUGAGGAGGGCCACUGAGAUCUUUUCUCCUCAAGACAUGACUCCUCAGGAAGGGGUCUUGGCACCAAUAUGCAGGAGGAUGCUUGCAGAGCUGGGACUUUGGCAUUUUAAAAGCCACGUGGCUCUAGGCAUGCUCCAAGUGUUCCUAGCUCAAGUCUUAUAGUUAAGUCCAGAUUUCACAGCCGAAGGCACUGAGCUGCAAGCUUCCUCGCCAAAGGCCCAAAGCAGUAAGCAGAAGGUGCUUCCUGGCCCUGACUCAACUGGUGCAGAAGGACACCCUAUUGAUGGUGAUGCAGGAGCAGCUCUGAGCCUUCUCUGAGUGAUCCGGAAAGCAUUAUCCUACCCAAAGGGGAGGAAAGUCUCUUUGAAAGCAUUUCUGCUCAGAGAUGAAGACAAAAACCAUAAUGGGAAGGACCAAUAUCCCAAACAUCACUGACAUUACCUGGGUGUUCUGCUUGCAAAAACAUUUUGCUAAUAAAAAGAAAACGUGAUCCCAUCACUAACUGUCCCUAAAGCAAGUCAUCUGCCUUUUCAUGGUCUCAAGGGGCUCAUCUGUAAAAUGAAGAGUUGAACUAAAUGAUGGUUGAGGUUCCAUACUGUCUAGUAAUAAAAACUGUCAAAAGUGGUCACAUACUGUCAAUUUCAUAUGGCUUGAUGCACACACAUGCACACUCACUGUGUGUACACCCUCACAAACAUUUAUUCAUUCGAUAAGUAUUGCCUACUAUAAGCCAAGCAUUCUUCUAGGCACUGAAGAUAUAGCAGCAAACAAAGCAGAGCCCUGCUCACUUGGAGCUUACGUUCUAGGAUUGGUAAAAGCAAAAAUAUAGCAAAUUAACUAGUAUAUCCAAGGGGGUGGAAUGAGAAAGGGAGAGAGUAAGAGAGAGAGACACCAAGUGGGGAGAGUAGAAGGAGAUAGAAAGAUCACCAGGGCCUGGCAAAGCCUUGCUUUUCCUCUGAGUGAGAUGGGAAGGCAUUGGAGGGUUCUGAGCAACGUAAUAGGACACACAUGCUUACAAGAUGAUUCUCACUGCUCUGUGGCAGACAGACUUGUAGGGACAAGAGUAGAAACAGGGAGACCAGUCGGGAGACCGUUGCAAUCAUCCAGAUGAGGGAUGACGGUGGCUUGGACCUGGUGGCAACGGUGGAGCUGAAAGUCUUGGCUGUUCUGUAUUCUGAAGGCAAAGUCAAUAGGAUUUGCUACUGGACAGCAUGUGGAGUGUGAGUGAAAGAUGACGCCAAGAUUUUUCACUGGAAUAAGUGGAAUAAUGAAGUUCCCAUUUACUGAUCUGGUAAAGACUACGGAAGGAACAUAUUUAGAGCUGGGGGAAGAUAGGAAUCUGGAUGUUUAAGUAUGAAACGUUUGAACUGGC